AUGCCAGUUGGUAUUAUACCAAAACUCACAAAGAGAAAGCCAUUUUGCCCACUUGUUCGGAUGAGCACUGAUGAAACAUCUCAAAAAACACUCCACUUGCUGAUUAGCACGCUCAGUCUGCCCAUCAGUUUCAGGAUGAUAGGCUGUGCUCAUAUUAAGUACAACUCUUGUUCUCUUCACCAGAGCCUUCCAGAAUUUGCUGGUGAAAACUGGGUCUCUGUCAGAUACUAUAUAGAGAGGCAUGCCAUGAAGCUUUUAAAUAUUGUCCAAAAAAAGUUCAGCAAUCUUCUGAGCCGUAUAUGGGUGUUUGACAGGUAUGAAAUGACCAUAUUUUGUAAAUUUGUGAAUGACUACCAUGAUGCAGUUGUACUGAUCAGAAGAUGGCAACCCUGA
rnacentral:rRNA from 1 species